UCCUACGGGGGGCAGCAGUAGGGAAUAUUGCUCAAUGGGGGAAACCCUGAAGCAGCAACGCCGCGUGGAAGAUGAAGGUUUUCGGAUUGUAAACUCCUUUUGUUAGAGAAGAUAAUGACGGUAUCUAACGAAUAAGCACCGGCUAACUCCGUGCCAGCAGCCGCGGUAAUACGGAGGGUGCAAGCGUUACUCGGAAUCACUGGGCGUAAAGAGCGCGUAGGCGGGAUAGCAAGUCAGAUGUGAAAUCCUGCGGCUUAACCGCAGAACUGCAUUUGAAACUGUUGAUCUUGAGUACUGGAGAGGCA
rnacentral:rRNA from 1 species